rnacentral:rRNA from 1 species
UACGUAGGGAGCGAGCGUUGUCCGGAUUCAUUGGGCGUAAAGAGCUCGUAGGCGGCUUGGCAAGUCGGGUGUGAAAACUCCAGCUCAACCUGGAGACGCCACCCGAUACUGCCAUGGCUAGAGUCCGGUAGGGGACCACGGAAUUCCUGGUGUAGCGGUGAAAUGCGCAGAUAUCAGGAGGAACACCGGUGGCGAAGGCGGUGGUCUGGGCCGGAACUGACGCUGAGGAGCGAAAGCGUGGGGAGCGAACAGGA